CGUGUUGCUUUUCAUCAUGCCAUCAUGUGCAUUGCAUCAUCAUGUUUUUGAAACUUGCAUCCGUCCCGGCCUCCUCGUUCUCUCCUUUGUCCGUUCUGAGCCCAAAUACACUUGCACGCGCCCGCAGCACGUCCGAAUAUUAUUUUUAUAGGUGGCCGGAUAAUGUUCUCGGAAUGGGAUGAGAGUUGGCGUGCGGUGUUGUUUUAUUGUUAGUAGACCGCCUGCCAAGUUUCAUCGCGUUCAGAGUCCGUUUGACGCCCUAACUAUAGCGACAUUAUAGUCGGUCAAAACGUUAGACGUUUUCGGUCUUCGGAAACAGUCGCCAGGCCUCUCCUCUUCUCUCUUCUCAGCCCUCUGCCUUCUGCACUAACUCUCACCGCCAGGCCCUACCUAACCUCUCUCGUCUGCCCGCGGACCUCCUCCCGCGCGCGUCCGAAAUCUGUCCCGGACCCGACUCGGACAGUCGUUACCGCUGUGUCCGGAUCAUCCCCAAACAUAUCUAACAUAUCUUCGGUUAUUUGUUUGGUCCAUCUAACCUAUUUUAUCUCGAUCAUCCAAUUUUAAUCGGAUGAUCCAAACUCCCCUCUUCUCUCUAUAUAUAGUCCACCUACAUACCAAAUAUGGCUAAACCAAACCCUAGCCUAGCUCCUACCCCUACCCCGCAGCCGCCGCGACUCUCUCCUCGGAAUCCGCAUGCGCCCAGUCCCCUGCUUCCACUUGGCCAGAUCCACCAGCCAACCCCCACUCGAUCUGGACCGUCAGAUCUCAGAUCCGACGGCCCAGAGAGCCUUCCGCAGCCCCGCAGUUCCACCCAUCGCCCGCAACCCCGAGCGCCUCCUCGCCUAGCAUCUCACCGUCGCUGGAGACCGGCGACCUCCUGUGCUGGACGACCGGUGCCCGACCUCGGCGGAGCUCUACCGGAACCACCACUGCCAGGCCGCCCCCUGCCCUUCCCUUUUUCCUCUCUGUCUCCCUCUCAUCUCACGAUCUCUCUUUCUCUCUUUCUCUGUACAGGAGCGCCAUGGCACUGCCGCUUUGACCUCCAUCGACCGCUGCCGUCUCGUUCGACCACCUCCCUCGUCGACUCUGGACGUGCCCACGGAUCCGGUCAUCUGCAGGCCAUCUCCGACGCCGCCUCGCCGGAGUCCCGUCAGGAGCACCACGCCAGAGCCUGCAGGUUCUUCUCCGAGCUCCUGCCGCCCUCAUUCCACGCGCCUCUGGCCGGAUUGGACGCCCCAAGCCCGGAUCCCGCCGUCCUGGACCACCUUGAUUCGCCUUGGUCUACCGCCGCUGCCCAUCGCGCCGCCCUUCUGCAAGUCCCGCUGCCGGUCAAGCCCCUGCAUCGAGCUCUUCUUCCUCUGCAACGAGCAGAGCGCAGCCGCUCGCCCCGUUGACCGCGCCUCGCUCAAGACCGCGCCUGGGCUGCCUUCCCUCGAUCACCAGAGGCCCAGCCUGCCUCCCCUUCGCUAGCUCAGCCCAGCCGCAAGCCAGCGCCAGGCCUCCCUCCUCCCACCGAAUGGGCCUUGGCCCAUGGUGAGGCCAACCCCAUUGCGCCCUCCUUUUUUUCUGUUCUUUUUUUCCACAGUUGGGUCAGAUCUCAGAUUCGGCCCAUAUCCUUUUUUUCCUGCCUCUGCGUUUUUAGUAUUUUUCCAGAGACAGCAGAAUUGCAGUAAAGCCCUCAAACUUCAUGCAUUUUAUUACUCGCAAACAGUGCAUCAUAUUAAAACAAACUUAAUACGAAAAUGCUUAGAAUUUCAUCUAGUUUAAUAAUAUGCCACUUUCAUCCAUGUUUAAAAUGUCUAAAAUGAUGUUUGUUUAAAUUUGCUCAUAUAGCUUGUUAAAAUGCUUUAAUUCAUAACUAUUUAACCGUAACUCGGAAUUUAAUAAUCUUUAUAUGUAAAUGGGGUGGAAAAAUGCCUGGUUUAACAUGGUCUACUUGCUUUGCAUGUUUAACAUCUAAAAAAAUUGGUUUAGGGCAGAACAGUACCAAACCUAAUAUAUGGAUGGGGUUUUACCGGAAUUGUUGUUCGUUGUUUCCGGCCUCAUUUAAACUUGCCUAGAUAGGUAGUUUUGUUGUGCUUCACCCCUUGCCAUGCUAACCAACAUUUAAUUUUGUUGAGUACAUAAACGAGAGAGAACUAAAUAAGGCAUGUGGUGCUCCGUCAAUAUGCAACCCGUUGCAUAUUGAGCUCCACUUAACUUGUAGUGUUGUUUGUGCACUUUGCCAUGCCAUGCUUCAUUAAACCGGACAUGCAUCAUAAUUGUUUGUGCAUCAUGCCAUGCUUAUGUGGUGGUUGUUUACCAUGAUUGUUUGCUUCUUUCCGGUGUGGCUUCUUCGGGUUGGUUCCGAUAACGUCGCGUUUGUGAGGAACCGUUCGACUACGUCAGUUUGUCUUCUUCAUGGACUCGUUCUUCUUCCUUGCGGGAUUUCAGGCAAGAUGAUCAUACCCUCGAAAUCACUUCUAUCUUUGCUUGCUAGUUGCUCGCUCUUUUGCUAUGCCUAUACUGCGAUACCUACCACUUGCUUAUCAUGCCUCCCAUAUUGUUGAACCAAGCCUCUAACCCACCUUGUCCUAGCAAACCGUUGUUUGGCUAUGUUACUGCUCUGCUCAGCCCCUCUUAUAGUGUUGUUAGUUGCAGGUGAAGAUUGAAGUUUGUUCCUUGUUGGAACAUGGAGAUGUUGUUCCUUGUUGGAACAUGUAGAUGUUGUUCCUUGCUGGAACAUGUUUACUUAUUGGGAUAUCACAAUAUCUCUUAUUUAAUUAAUGCAUCUAUAUACUUAGUAAAGGGUGGAAGGCUCGGCCUUAUGCCUGGUGUUUUGUUCCACUCUCGCCGCCCUAGUUUCCAUCAUAUCGGUGUUAUGUUCCCGGAUUUUGCGUUCCUUACGCGGUUGGGUUAUAAUGGGAACCCCUUGACAGUUCGCCUUGAAUAAAACUCCUCCAGCAAUGCCCAACAUUGGUUUUACCAUUCGCCACCUAGCCUUUUUUUCCCUUGGGUUCUACAGACUCAAGGGUCAUCUUUAUUUAAACCACCCUCGGGCCAGUGCUCCUCUGAGUGUUGGUCCAAACAGAGCCACUUGCAGCGCCACCUCGGGGAAACUCGAGGUUUGGUUUUAGUUGUACGUAGUGUUCAUCUGAGUGUGCCCUGAGAACGAGAUAUGUGCAGCUCCUAUCGGGAUUUGUCGGCACAUUCGGGCGGUGUUGCUGGACUUGUUUUACCUUGUCGAAAUGUCUUGUAACCGGGAUUCCGAGUCUGAUCGGGUCUUCCCGCUAGAAGGAAUAUCCUUCGUUGAUCAUGAGAGCUUGUGAUGGGCUAAGUUGGGACUCCCCUGCAGGGAUUUGAACUUUCGAAAGCCGUGCCCGUGGUUAUGGGCAGAUGAGAAUUUGUUAAUAUCCGGUUGUAGAAAACCUGAAGUUGACCUUAAUUAAAAUGCAUCAACCGCGUGUGUAACCGUGAUGGUCUCUUCUCGGCGGAGUCCGGGAAGUGAACACGGUGUUGGGGUAAUGCUUGACGUAGGUUGUUCUAGGAUCACUUCUUGAUCAUAGAUUCUCGACCGUGCUUUUGCCUUCUCUUCUCGCUCUCAUUUGCGUAUGUUAGCCACCAUAUAUGCUAGUCGCUUGCUGCAGCUCCACCUCAUACCUUUUACCUUACCUAUAAGCUUAAAUAGUCUUGAUCGCGAGGGUGCGAGAUUGCUGAGUCCCCGUGACUCAGUUACAUCCAAAACCAGCUUGCAGGUGCCGAUGAGUCCGUGCAGAUGACGCAACCAAGCUCAAGGAGGAGCUCGAUGAAGCUCUUGUCCUUUGUGUUGUUUCGUUCUAGUUGAUCAGUAGUGAAGCCGAGUUGGGGUCGAUUGGGGACCUUGUCGCAUUUGGGGUUCUUCUUUUAUUUUGGUUCCGUAGUCGGACCUUGAUUGUAUUUGGAUGAUGUAAUGCUUUAUUCAUGUAAUUGUGUGAAGUGGCGAUUGUAAGCCAACUAUGUAUCUUUCCCCCUAUUGUAUUAUAUGGGUUGUUUGCGAAGAUUACCUCACUUGUGACAUUGCUUUCAAUGCGGUUAUGCCUCUAAGUCGUGCUUCGACACGUAGGAGAUAUAGCCGCAUCGAGGGUGUUACAAGUUGGUAUCAGAGCAUUCCCCGACCUUAGGAGCCCCAUUGCUUGAUCGAAUUAGCUGACGUUGUUGAGUCUAGAAAAAAUGUUUUGAGUCAUUUAGGAUUAUAUAUAUCGUAGAGUUAGGACUUCUUUUUACUCCUCAGUCCAUUCAUCGCUCUGGUAAGGCAUCCUGACGUAGAGUUUUGACUCUUCUCUUCUCAAAUUUCACUAAAAAAAUUAGGAUCACGCGGGUAUCUUGGAAUCGUUACGAUGGUUUUAUGACGAAAACAUUGUUCUUGGUGCCUCCUGUCAUUUAGGGGUUGUGGCGGUGUCCCGGGGAGUUGAGCUCCGAGGUGUUGUCGUCACAAUUUUAUCGUUGCAGUUCUGGAAUACUUGAGUUUAGUUUCGCCGACAUCGAAAAUCUUUUUUAUGCAGUUGUUGGUGAGAUAACCUCGACGCCACCCAGUACUGGGGCGGGAGUUCGGAAGUAUUGCCAUAACUUGUAUAACGGAUGCUUUUCGAAGGUUGAGGUAGACGAUUUCCGAAGUUUUUCUUGGUUAUGUGUUGAAGGAUGGAUACAGCUGGAUGUAGGAUUUGCUAGUUUUGGGUGAGAUAUCAUGCUUCCCCUGUAUCCCCAACACCUGAUUGCAUAACCGGAAAGUUUCGGGAGUUUGUAAGUGGGAAUUCAAGUAACUCUUAAGAUAUCUUUCCGACAGAUGUAUGAUAUGAAAUUGGGGUUCGACGUCUAGUGGUCCGCCUAUCCACGGUUGGUUUUACAGUGGUCUCGUUGUGUCUUAAAGAGUCCUUGGCUAUGCCGACUCGGGGACGCUUCUUAUGUCAUGUGCACUGCCUUAUACAUGAUGGUGUUGUACGAUCGAGCCCGUGUAGGCCUCACCACGAAAACUUCGAACGAAAUCUCUAUCAUAUGUUUGUUCCGGCUUAUUCUGCAAGACAAUCCUUUGUUUUGUUUUGAGUUGUGGUAUUCGAGUUGCUUCGAAGUCAUAUGUUGAUUCCAUACUUUUCCUAAACGGUGUUCUUAUACUCCUAUGUGAAUGCAAUCCUUCUCGAUCAUCGAGAUAGUUAUGUCAAUUCUUUUUCCAACCGUGUUUUCUCUUCAAGUGGAUCCGAUCAUUUCAACAUCAGUAAGAUCAAUUAUCAUUUCUUCUCAACGGUGUUUGUUUCAUCUAUCCCAAGUUGUCUUUGUUUUCCCACCCUCCCUCCCCUUGUUUCUUCAAGGACUCUCUUCUUCAAGUAUCCAUUUUAUUGAUGGGAAGUCUCUCCAUGUUUUUCGUCAAUGUUCUUAUUCGGUGAUUCUCAUGAAGAUUUUAAUGGAGUUUCAAGUUCAUCAUUCUUCGUUCUUUUCUUCUCCGGUGGUUUCAAGUCAAGCUUUGUUGAUCAUACCCUUUCCUCAUGUCAAUGCUUUCUCAUGCCGGUGCAAUUCUUAAUCAUUCACUUCUCGUUAUUCAAUUGUUCUAGAGUGCUCAAGAUAUUUCGAAGAUUCAUGUUACGACACUGCUUUCGUUCAAACUCUUUCGAGAAUGUUAUAUCAUUUAAGCCUUUUAAUUCAACCGGUGCAAUCUCUCUUUUCAAAUAAUCGUUCAACGGUGUAUCUUUUGAAUGGGCCCUAACCCACAGGUCUUUUCCCAGGAUUUUACCUGACUCUUCUAUUUUCCCGGAGCUAUCCUAAUUUUUUUUUAAGUUUGACGUAAGAAUGAGUUAUCAUCAAUCAAAUGCCUUCUCCAAGAUCGUUUUCAAAUUCUUUUUAUUGUUGGCUCUACCUCUUCGCUUUUCAUUCUCUCGGAGUAUCUCAACAAUUCUUGAUGGUGUUCCUCGUCGUUAUUCUUGGAUUUUGAAGAUCAAAGAAGAGUUUUACCUCCAUAUCUUAUACGUUCUCACAGAGAUUCGUGGUUCUAGUUCGAGACCAUCCUCUCAUAAUUGUUUUUGAUUGUGAGAAGUCCUUUCACCUAUCUGGAAUCCAUCAAUUCAGGUUUAUUCAUUCUCGGCUUUCAGCUAUGGUUCUCCAAAUCUUACCGGUGCUUCGUUCAAGUAUCUCUAAUCAGUUCGUGAUCCCUUUGUUCUCAUGUAUCUAAAUCCUCUCAAGCAUCUUCGUUCAUUUUAUAAUUCUUCCCGAUGCUUCUUUAUUUUUUUUCUUCGUUCAUUUUCAAUUCUUACGGUGGUUCUUUCAAGAGUUCUUUUUCCUUCGUUUAUCAUAUUAAUUCAUUCGUUGUUCCAAUCCUAUCGGUGGUUCGUUGAAGACGUUCUCAAGUUUUGAUAUAUCUCUUUUAAUCCUUUCUACGAGAAUAAAUAGUAUGCCAAAUCCAUUGAUUAUCAUCAAUUUAAUUGAUGAAAGAUAAGCAUAAUGUAAUUCUUAUUCUUGUUUCAUCCAAGUGAUUAAUUCCUUAUUCCGAAGGUGCAUCAUAUCACAUUCUGGGUUCGAGAUGCUUUAUCUUUUCUUUUCUCGGAGUUCCUAACUCUCGCAAUUACAUCACCACGGAGAUUCAUUUAAAUCAUUGCAAGUCUUCACCUUGUGUUUCCAUCUUCUCUUGCCUUCCGUUUAGGCAUUUUUUUUGGUUUAACGGAGUUCUUCGGGAAGGUUCUACAUGUUGGUUCAUAAAGGAUUUAAUUUCUACUUGAAGUGUUCAUCAAGAUUCUUUUCUAAGAAACUCAAGCUUUUUUCAUAUUGUAAUCUGGAGUGCAUUCUUUCUAUCAUAUUAUUGGAGGUGGUAUUAUGUCAUUCUUGAUAAUUUGAGUUCAUGUUUCAUAAUUCACAUGUUGUCAAGGGUGAGAUAUUUUAAAUCCAUCAUUUUCUUCAUUGGAAUUAUCUUGGGUAUUUCACCUAAAGCUUUCCUUUAAGGAUUGUCGCUCUUAUGGUGUUUAUCAAUGAUCCAAUUUCUUCAUUUAUCCUUUCCGGUGCGAUAUACUUUCUCGUCUCCUUGUUCAUAUCAAUACAAUUCUUUUCCCGUGAGUGGCAGGUUGUCACCUCAUAAUUUGAGAUGUACUCCAUAAGAUCAUAUCAAGUUUAUUCUUUCAUUGUUGGCUUUCCAAAACUCCGUUUGACCCUUCUUCUUAAGAUGCCUUUUCAAACUCUUUUGUGGCAGAAGUUGGCAUUUUCUUCAACAUUCUAUUAUUUCAAUUAUCUAUCUUCUAUUUCUUUCUCUCGGAGGCAUUGUGUUGCUGCUCUCUUCAAACCUUCUUCUUGCUCUUGUCAAGAGCAUGUUUUUUUCGUGCUUAUUCAUUUAACCGGAGUGCUGUCUGAGAUCUUUCUUACCCCUUAUUACAUUCAUUCAAUAGUUACGGAGGUAGUGUAUUAUGAUUUCAUCAAGUAUCUUCUCAUCUUAUCAAGUUCUUAUUCAAUUUCUUUUCUUUUCAAUCGGAGUGCUGCCCGAAGUUGUUCUUCCUUGUUCCUCUUUUCUAACGGAAUGUUUUCAACUUAGUUCAUCUUCGUCGUAUUUUUUUCUCGAAAUAGCUUAACCUUUGCAAGAUUUUUUGGUUUCACUCAUUGGUCAAAGAAGCAACUUAGUUUUACCUCUUUUCUUUCUCUUUCGUUUUCCCCGGUGCCAUCCUAGAUCUCGGGACCAGAUCCUCUCGUAGUGGUGGAGUGUUGUAACACCCCGAGACCGAUGUGCCAGGUGUCCUCCAGUUAUUCGCCGGCGUUGCCAUGUCAUUUGCUUGCGUGUUGCUUUUCAUCAUGCCAUCAUGUGCAUUGCAUCAUCAUGUUUUUGAAACUUGCAUCCGUCCUGGCCUCCUCGUUCUCUCCUUUGUCCGUUCUGAGCCCAAACACACUUGCACGCGCCCGCAGCACGUCCAAAUAUUAUUUUUAUAGGUGGCCGGAUAAUGUUCUCGGAAUGGGAUGAGAGUUGGCCUGCGGUGUUGUUUUAUUGUUAGUAGACCGCCUGCCAAGUUUCAUCGCGUUCAGAGUCCGUUUGACGCCCUAACUAUAGCGACAUUAUAGUCGGUCAAAACGUUGGACGUUUUCGGUCUCCGGAAACAGUCGCCAGGCCUCUCCUCUUCUCUCUUCUCAGCCCUCUGCCUUCUGCACUAACUCUCACCGCCAGGCCCUACCUAACCUCUCUCGUCUGCCCGCGGACCUCCUCCCGCGCGCGUCCGAAAUCUGUACCGGACCCGACUCGGACAGUCGUUACCGCUGUGUCCGGAUCAUCCCCAAACAUCUCUAACAUAUCUUCGGUUAUUUGUUUGGUCCAUCUAACCUAUUUUAUCUCGAUCAUCCAAUUUUAAUCGGAUGAUCCAAACUCCCCUCUUCUCUCUAUAUAUAGUCCACCUACAUACCAAAUAUGGCUAAACCAAACCCUAGCCUAGCUCCUCCCCCUACCCCACAGCCGCCGCCACUCUCUCCUCGCAAUCCGCAUGCGCCCAGUCCCCU
rnacentral:lncRNA from 1 species